rnacentral:tRNA from 1 species
GAGACGUUGGUGUAGUAGCAGCACAACAGUCUGUGGCACUGUUAGCAGGGGUGCAAAUCCCCUACGUCUCCCCA